AUUUGAGACAGAAACAGUUUGAACACAGAAGCUCCAAUAGCUCAGGAGUCCAUGUUGUUUGUUGCUCGCUACUCUUCAGUAGCCUGUGAAAGAUGGGGAAAAAACGCCUGGAUUUGAGGAUUCUUUUCCUACUUCGCAGAACAUGAGGAGUCUGUAGACAGCGGAGGCUUCUGCUGUCUUUUGUUGCGCUGCAAAUUCUCCUUUCUUUUCACUUGUGCUUCCUUGCUCCUGGCUGUGGCAGUGGAAUACCCAGUUACACGUGGUAGUUGUAUCUCCAAGGUCUAUGAAUGAAAACAAAUCUGUGUGGAAAAUCCAUCUUCAACAUAUAGAACUUGGGAUAGCUCGCUAUCGCUCACGUUUAGCACGGAGUCUAGGUGCAGGCACGCUGGAGUGACAGCCGCUUGCAGGAGAAGCGAACGGUGGAUUUCAAGUCUGGACACUGAUCGCGCACAGGAAGGAUGCGAAUCUCUCAGUCCCGAUCAAAGGGGAUCAGGAAGGGUUGAAGCGCGACUCUUGAGUCGGGGCAUGAAGUAACCUUCUCUGCCAAUCAGCCUGUGAUGAGGACUGCACCCAUACGGGCAUGUUGCAGGGCCUGAGCUGAACAAGGGAAGCAGAACAAGCAGAUGAGCAGAUGAGCAGACAAGCAGAUGAGCAGACGAGCAGAUGAGCUGGGCCUGGCCAUGGCUGCAACAGGGGAGCUACAUGGAGGGACAAAGGAGUUCAGACACCGUGCCAGUGGAAAAAGGGAACAAGAUAAAUUUUAAAUAGUGAUAACAUCACUGGUUUGCUAAUACUGUAAUUGUUUAGAUCCAAAAAGAUUUUUUUUUUUGAAAAUUGUAAAGGCUGCAGCAGUACUAUCAACUAAACAACCUAUUUGGUAUGUCAUCUUGCUUUCUUUAUCUACAUUGCUGUACAUAAACUGAUUGAUUGUAUAUUAAUGUAUGAAAAACCUGUUUCCUUAACUCAACUAAAUAAAACUGUCAUCCUGUUGUAAUA